UGCCAGCCGCCGCGGUAAUACGGAGGGAGCAAACGUUGUUCGGAUUUACUGGGUGUAAAGGGUGCGUAGGCGGCGAAGUGUGUCAGAGGUGAAAGCUCACGGCUCAACCGUGGAAUUGCCUUUGAAACUGCUUCGCUUGAGUCCGAGAGAGGAUGAUGGAAUUCCUGGUGUAACGGUGAAAUGUGCAGAUAUCAGGAAGAACACCAGUGGCGAAGGCGGUCAUCUGGCUCGGUACUGACGCUGAGGCACGAAAGCUAGGGUAUCAAACGGGAUUAGAUA
rnacentral:rRNA from 1 species